rnacentral:rRNA from 1 species
GCUGGCGGCACGCCUAACACAUGCAAGUCGAACGAAGUAGCAAUACUUAGUGGCAGACGGGUGAGUAACAUGUAGGUAUCUUCCCUUUGGCCUGGAAUAACACGAGGAAACUUGUGCUAAUACCGGAUAAGUCUUCACAGAGAAAGCUUUAUGCACCAUUGGAUGAGCCUGCACUUGAUUAGUUUGUUGGUAGGGUAAUGGCCUACCAAGACUAUGAUCAAUAGCUGAUUUGAGAGGAUGAUCAGCCACAUUGGGACUGAGACACGGCCCAAACUCCUACGGGAGGCAGCAGUGGGGAAUCUUGCACAAUGGAGGAAACUCUGAUGCAGCGAUGCCGCGUGAGUGAAGAAGGCCCUUGGGUUGUAAAGCUCUUUCGUCGGGGAAGAAAAUGACUGUACCCGAAUAAGAAGGUCCGGCUAACUUCGUGCCAGCAGCCGCGGUAAUACGAAGGGACCUAGCGUAGUUCGGAAUUACUGGGCUUAAAGAGUUCGUAGGUGGUUGAAAAAGUUGGUGGUGAAAUCCCAGAGCUUAACUCUGGAACUGCCAUCAAAACUUUUCAGCUAGAGUUUGAUAGAGGAAAGCAGAAUUUCUAGUGUAGAGGUGAAAUUCGUAGAUAUUAGAAAGAAUACCAAUUGCGAAGGCAGCUUUCUGGAUCAUUACUGACACUGAGGAACGAAAGCAUGGGUAGCGAAGAGGAUUAGAUACCCUCGUAGUCCAUGCCGUAAACGAUGUGUGUUAGACGUUGGAAAUUUAUUUUCAGUGUCGCAGCGAAAGCGAUAAACACACCGCCUGGGGAG